rnacentral:pre_miRNA from 1 species
AAAGUACUCCCUCCGUCCCAAAAUUCUUGUCUUAGAUUUGUCUAGAUACGGAUGUAUCAAGUCACAUUUUAGUAUUAGAUACAUCCGUAUCUAGACAAAUCUAAGACAAGAAANAUUAGAUACAUCCGUAUCUAGACAAAUCUAAGACAAGAAAUUUGGGACAGAGGGAGUAGUUG